CUACGGGACGCUGCAGUGGGGAAUAUUGCACAAUGGGCGCAAGCCUGAUGCGGCCAUGCCGCGUGUAUGAAGAAGGCCUUCGGGUUGUAAAGUACUUUCAGCGGGGAGGAAGGGAGUAAAGUUAAUACCUUUGCUCAUUGACGUUACCCGCAGAAGAAGCACCGGCUAACUCCGUGCCAGCAGCCGCGGUAAUACGGAGGGUGCAAGCGUUAAUCGGAAUUACUGGGCGUAAAGCGCACGCAGGCGGUUUGUUAAGUCAGAUGUGAAAUCCCCGGGCUCAACCUGGGAACUGCAUCUGAUACUGGCAAGCUUGAGUCUCGUAGAGGGGGGUAGAAUUCCAGGUGUAGCGGUGAAAUGCGCAGAGAUCUGGAGGAAUACCGGUGGCGAAGGCGGCCUCCUGGACGAAGACUGACGCUCAGGUGCGAAAGCGUGGGGAGCAAACAGGAUUAGAUACCCCUGUAGUC
rnacentral:rRNA from 1 species